CCCUCAGACUGCAGGGCUGAAUGCUUCGCUCUAAGGUGUUUUACUGGUUGUGGCUUUCCUCCAUCAAAUCUAGUCCUUAAAAUUCCCAUGAAACAAACAAAUAGCAAAUACCACGGAGCGUUUUAGGCUAGAAAGAAGCUGAAUUUCAGUGGCCUUGGAUGUCUCAGUUUAAGGCAUUUUUGUGCAUGUGUGCUCAGUCAUGUCUGACUCUUGGUGCCCCAUGGACUGUAGCCUGCCAGGCUCCUUAGUCCAUGGAAUUUUUCAGGCAAGAAUACAGAAGUAGUUUACCAUUUCCUACUGCAGGGGAUCUUCCUGACCCAGGAUCAAACCCGCAUCUCUUGCACCUCCUACAUUGGCCGGCCGAUUCUUUACCACUGAGCCACUAAGACAUAUUUGGAGGAAAUCUAAGAGCCAGAUACCGAGACUUGAUCUGAUUUCUUGUCAAGCGUAAUAGGAGACCCAACCACGUUUUAAGGCCACGGUGGAAACUUCUUGAGCUUAUCUGAAGAAGUCACAAAUUUCCAACACAAAUCUUCAGCAGUACCGGCUCUGAUGAAGUGCUUUACAGAGGCAGCCGAACUGAACGCCACACCAGUGAUGCCUGUUGCAUACCUUAGUAAGCACUGCUUUUCUCUUGUCAACCUGCCUUUAUGUUUAAGAGUACCAGCUGAAAACCUAAGAAUGAAGUGGUGACUUUCAAGCAUCUUAUAUAUGGAACCAGAAACUGGAAGUCUGUUUGCUCUUUUUUAAGACAUUUUUGCCUCUGUGCUUAUUACUAAAAUGGCCCUAUAAUUAUCCCUUCUUAUAUUUUCUCCACGGGGUGUUGAUAUAGAUAUUAUGCUAACCUAAAAUAAUUUAUAGUUUUCCCAUUUUGUGCAUGGGG
rnacentral:lncRNA from 1 species